AGGCUGGCAUCGAUGGUGAUGGAGGUCCAGUACAGAAGCACGACGAACGAAAUGGAAGCACCCCAGCCGUCUCGGCUUCCUAUCGGGUCGAAGCAGAUCCACAUCCCCGCAUUACCACCAAGCUGGACCAAUUUUGUUUCGCUCUCUAAAAUUGGAACUUGACGACGAGAACCAUCUUGCAGACUUCAGAUCAAGGAAGGGUAUUUGCAUUACCAGCGGCUGUGGGAAGACAAUGUUAACAUCUGUAAUGCAAAUAACACUCAACAACUCAAACAACACAUCUGAUAAGACUAUCCAUCAUCGUUAUUAAUGGAAAGAACCCCAGUAUUUGCUUUUAAUGGAAGUACUUGGAAAUUUAUUGGUCAAGAGCGUAACAUAUAAGUCACUUUGAAAAAUAGAAUGUACUAUCCAUUUUUUAGCAUCCUGUAGUUCCAAUACAUGCAUACAGGAAAAUACAUACUGCAUUCAAGUAGUUGUAACUUGUUUCAAAUAUUUUAUAAGUUCAUAUAUCCGCAAAUCUAUCAUAAAUAUAUAAAUAUAUAAAACAUUCUGUCCUAGUAAAUUUAGCAUUUCAAUCAAGAAUAUUAAAAUAAAACAAAAGUUCGAUCAGGUUACUACAUAGAAUCAAACUAACUUUUCUCUUUUCUCUUUUUUA